GGAUGUGAGGGCGAUCUGGUUGCUACAUCUGUCACCCCAUUGAUCGCCAGGGUUCAUUCGGCUGAUCUGGCCGGCUAGGUGGGUGUCCUCUUCCUCCCUCACUGCUCCAUGUGCGUCCUUCCCGAAGCUGUGUGCUCGGUUGAAGAGGACGGUCUUCCCUGAAUAGAGACGGACAGGUCUUCGGUCAAGGGUACACGAGUAGCUGCGCUCCCCUGCUAGAACCAUACAAGCUCUCAAAAAUUUUGUGAAACGAGUUCCUUAAAAAAAAAAAAAUCGCUGAAUUAAUGUAGGGUGUUAACAAAGGCUAAAUUAUGCUGCCUACAAACUGUUGGUGGGGUACUUUUU
rnacentral:snRNA from 1 species